CCUACGGGAGGCUGCAGUAGGGAAUCUUCGGCAAUGGACGAAAGUCUGACCGAGCAACGCCGCGUGAGUGAAGAAGGUUCUCGGAUCGUAAAACUCUGUCGGCAGAGAAGAACGUUGGUGAGAGUGGCAAGCUCACCAAGUGACGGUAACUACCCAGAAAGGGAGUGCUAACUACGUGCCAGCAGCUGCGGUAAUCCGUAGGUCCCGAGCGUUGCCUGGAUUUAUUGGCCGUAAAGCGAGCGCAGAUGGUUUAUUAAGUCUGGUGUAAAAGGCAGUGGCUAAACCAUUGUAUGCAUUGGAAACUGGGAGGCUUGAGUGCAGGAGGGGGGAGUGGAAUUCCAAGUGUAGCGGUGAAAUGCGUAGAUAUAAGGAGGAACACCGGUGGCGAAGGCGGCUCUCUGGCCUGUAACUGACGCUGAGGCUCGAAAGCGUGGGGAGCAAACAGGAUUAGAUACCCUUGUAGUC
rnacentral:rRNA from 1 species